rnacentral:rRNA from 1 species
UACGUAGGGAGCAAGCGUUGUCCGGAAUCAUUGGGCGUAAAGCGCGCGUAGGUGGCUUCGUAAGUCCGUUGUGAAAGUCCAAGGCUCAACCUUUGAAAGCCGAUGGAUACUGCGGAGCUAGAGUACGGAAGAGGCGAGUGGAAUUCCUGGUGUAGCGGUGGAAUGCGCAGAUAUCAGGAGGAACACCAAUAGCGAAGGCAGCUCGCUGGGACGUUACUGACACUGAGGCGCGAAAGCGUGGGGAGCGAACAGG